rnacentral:rRNA from 1 species
CCUUAGGACUGAGAUAAUCCCGGGAAACUGGGGCUAAUACCAGAUAGAUGAGGACUCCUGGAAUGGUGCCUCGUCUAAAGGGCAUCAAAGACAUGCUUUUGAUGUUGCCUAAGGAUGGGACCGCGUCCGAUCAGGUUGUUGGUGGGGUAACGGCUCACCAAGCCUAUAACCGGUACGGGCCCUGAGAGGGGAAGCCCGGAGAUGGAACCUGAGACAAUGUUCCAGGCCCUAUGGGGCGCAGCAGGCGCGAAACCUCCACAAUGCACGAAAGUGUGAUGGGGUUACCCCGAGUGCCUUCCUUAUAGGAGGGCUUUUCUCCAGUGUAAAGAGCCGGAGGAAUAAGGAGGGGGCAAGAUUGGUGUCAGCCGCCGCGGUAAUACCAACCCUCCGAGUGGUAGGGAUGAUUAUUUGGCUUACAGCGUCCGUAGCUGGCUUGGAAAGUCUUCCG